GGAUAAUUGUUCAAAACUUCAGGGGGUUUGUGCAAAGAUACGUGAUGGAACCCGACGGAUUCAAUCCGUGCUUUAUUAUUAAAAAAAAUAGGGAUAUAUAUUGGGCACACAACCUGCAGCGUCGCCACAACUAAGAUGGAAAAUGGCCAGCCCUUGAAAAACAGCCUUACUCGGCUGCAUCUUCAGUGAAGAAAGGAAAGCAGAAGUGCAAAUGGGAUAAAGAACGGAAAAGGAACAGAAUACACAGGCUGAAAAAAUCAGCCACCUCCUCGGCCCAUUUAAGACGACGCACGAUCCUUCGUCAUCCUCGCAACACCAGCAUCCGCCAUGACCACGCCCGCCGGUCGCCGUCAUAGCAUCAGACGCUUCCGGCGAGUGGCCCUGCAGCACCGGCGCUCCCGCCGGUGAGCGGCCUUGCAUCGGAUGCUUCCGGCGAGCAACCUCGUGGGGCUGGCGCUCCCGUCGGCGACCAGCCUUGCUUGCAGCCGCCCCAUUGUUGCUAUACCCCUCAUACGAGAGAGUCGUGCAAGAACGCUCGCCGCUGCUGCAACUUCUCGCCGCCGUUAGCUAAUUGCCGUCAAACACACCAUGUCUGGAUUUUGCUUGCAGAGCAUGGUUGUUGCUGGAUAUGGCACGAGCUUGCAGAAGCCUUGGCGGUGGCUCUUGCUUGUGCGACAGUGGGGUUCCCCGUUGGACGGAGAUAAGGGAAGAGAAGGGAGGAAGGAAAUUGGGGAUGAUGGGGACAAGAAGGGACGGCUAUGAAGAUAAGGUCGAGGAGGGGCAGCGGUGCGUGGGCCAGACGACACGCGUCACCCGCGCGAGAUGACUGGUGGAACAAGUCUAUGGCCGCUUUUCCAGAAUUUUUUUUUCUACGUCCGCUUGAAAACAAAUUCCCGUAGGAUAGGAUUAGAUUUAGCUAGAUUUGUUAAUAUAUAACUAGGUAACCUCGUGUAAACUCUCAACUAGAUCAAAUCGUCGUGUAUGCAUUUUUACACAAUUGCCG
rnacentral:rRNA from 1 species